GCCGCGUUAGUGYUAAGGUAGCAUAGUAAUUAGUUUUUUAAUUGGAAAAUGGAAUGAAUGGCUCCACUAAAGCAUAGUAUUUAUACUAAAAAAUGAAAUUUUAAUUUAAGUGAAAAUACUUAAAUGCUAUAUUUAGACGAGAAGACCCUAUGAAGCUGGUAGACCAUAAGUGUAAUUAUUUCAUAGUAGCAGGUCUAUUUUUUGGGGUAAAAUUUAAUAAUUAUAUUAAUACAGAUUUGUUCAAACUUAUCCUUCUGGAAUUAUGAAUAAGCUCCUCUAGGGAUAACAGCAUUAUGCUUAAAAGAGUUCUUAUCAGAAUAAGCGUUUGUGACCUCGAUGUUGAAUUAAAUACCCCAGUGUGUGCAGGAGCUCAUUGGAGACGGUCUGUUCGACCUAAAAUAUUUACAUGAUUUGAGUUAAAAUCGACGCAAGUCAGAUUGGUUUCA
rnacentral:rRNA from 1 species